GGAGGUUGAAUAGGCCCGUUCGUGGGGCCGUUCAUCGCCCAGCGCAGCUUCAAAUCAAACUGCUGCAUCAAGGCGAUUGAGGCUCCUGA